UACGUAGGGAGCAAGCGUUGUCCGGAAUCAUUGGGCGUAAAGCGCGCGUAGGCGGCCCUGUAAGUCCGUUGUGAAAGUCAAAGGCUCAACCUUUGAAAGCCGAUGGAUACUGCAGGGCUAGAGUCCGGAAGAGGCGAGUGGAAUUCCUGGUGUAGCGGUGGAAUGCGCAGAUAUCAGGAGGAACACCGGUGGCGAAGGCGGGUCUCUGGGCCGACAUUGACGCUGAGGAGCGAAAGCGUGGGGAGCGAACAGG
rnacentral:rRNA from 1 species